rnacentral:rRNA from 1 species
GGUUUAUCAAAAACAUUGCUUUACGUAAAAAAAUGUAAAGUAAUUCCUGCCCAGUGACAGAAGUUCAACGGCCGCGGUAUCCUAACCGUGCAAAGGUAGCAUAAUCACUUGCCCAUUAAUUGUGGGCUAGAAUGAACGGGUAAACGAAAUAAAGACUGUCUCUAUCAAUUAACUAUAAAUUAAUAUCUACAUGAAGAAGUGUAGAUAAUUUCGAAGGACAAGAAGACCCUAUAGAGCUUUAUUUAAAGACAUAUUAUUAUUUGUCAUAAAAUUCGGUUGGGGCGACCUAGGGAAGUUAAAUAUCAUCCUAACAAAAAAAAGAUAUAUAAAUCUAAUAAUUGACCCUUAUAAGAUCACUAGAUCAAGUUACCUUAGGGAUAACAGGCUAAUUCUAUUAAAGAGUUCAUAUCGACAAUAGAGUUUGGCACCUCGAUGUUGGCUUAGGAUAUCUAUAAAACGCAAAAGUUAUAUAAAGAUGGUUUGUUCAACCAAUAAUUUCCUACNUGAUCUGAGUUCAAACCG